CCUACGGGAGGCUGCAGUGAGGAAUAUUGGGCAAUGGGGGCAACCCUGACCCAGCCAUGCCGCGUGAGUGAAGAAGGUUUUCGGAUUGUAAAGCUCUUUCGGACGUGACGAUGAUGACGGCGGCGUCUAAAGAAGAACCGGCAAACGUCUUACCAGCAGCCUCGGUAAUACGAAGGGAGCGAGAGUCGUUCGGAAGUACUGGGCGUAAAGGGAGUGUAGGAGGAGAUGUAAUAAAGCUGUGAAAAGCCUGGGCUCAACCCCGGAACUGCAAUUAGAACUAUGUAUCUAGAGUAAUGUAGAGGAUAGCGGAAUACCCAGUGUAGAGGUGAAAGUCGUAGAUAUUAGGUAGAACACCAGUGGCGAAGGCGGCUAUCUGGACAGUUACUGACGCUGAGGCUCGAAAGCAUGGGGAUCAAACAGGAUUAGAUACCCUGGUAGUC
rnacentral:rRNA from 1 species